rnacentral:rRNA from 1 species
CCUACGGGUGGCUGCAGUGAGGAAUAUUGGUCAAUGGGCGCGAGCCUGAACCAGCCAAGUAGCGUGAAGGAUGAAUGCCCUACGGGUUGUAAACUUCUUUUAUAAAGGAAUAAAAUGAGGCACGUGUGCCUUUUUGUAUGUACUUUAUGACUAAGGAUCGGCUAACUCCGUGCCAGCAGCCGCGGUAAUACGGAGGUUCCGAGCGUUAUCCGGCUUUAAUGGGUUUAACGGGGUCGUAGAGGGGUUGUUAAGUCAGUUGUGAAAGUUUGCGGCUCCAACGUAAAAUUGCAAUUGAUAAUGGCAGUUGUGAGUAAAGUGGAGGUAGGCGGAAUUCGUGGUGUAGCGGGUAAAUGCUUAGAUAUCACGAAGAACUCCGAUUGCGAAGGCAGCUUACUAAACUGCCACUGACAUUGAUGCUCGAAAGUGUGGGUAUCAAACAGGAUUAGAUACCCGGGUAGUC